rnacentral:ncRNA from 1 species
CAGAGUAGGAAACCGUGCGUAAAGUGCACUGUGAACGGGGAGUUGACGCAGUGACGAAAGAUAUUCUGCGGUACGGUUUCUGCAUCCCGCUGC